rnacentral:rRNA from 1 species
UAAUGACCAAAACCUAUAUGGCCCCUGGAUUGGACUGCGGCCGAUCAGGCUGUUGGUGAGGUAAUGGCCCACCAAACCUGUAACCGGUACGGGCUCUGAGAGGAGGAGCCCGGAGAUGGGCACUGAGACAAGGGCCCAGGCCCUAUGGGGCGCAGCAGGCGCGAAACCUCUGCAAUAGGCGAAAGCCUGACAGGGUUACUCUGAGUGAUCUCCGUUAAGGAGAUCUUUUGGCACCUCUAAAAAUGGUGCAGAAUAAGGGGUGGGCAAGUCUGGUGUCAGCCGCCGCGGUAAUACCAGCACCCCGAGUGGUCGGGACGUUUAUUGGGCCUAAAGCAUCCGUAGCCGGUUCUACAAGUCUUCCGUUAAAUCCACCUGCUCAACAGAUGGGCUGCGGAAGAUACUAUAGAGCUAGGAGGCGGGAGAGGCAAGCGGUACUCGAUGGGUAGGGGUAAAAUCCGUUGAUCCAUUGAAGACCACCAGUGGCGAAGGCGGCUUGCCAGAACGCGCUCGACGGUGAGGGAUGAAAGCUGGGGGAGCAAACCGGAUUAGAUACCCGGGUAGUCCCAGCUGUAAACGAUGCAGACUCGGUGAUGAGUUGGCUUCAUGCCAACUCAGUGCCGCAGGGAAGCCGUUAAGUUUGCCGCCUGGGGAGUACGGUCGCAAGACU